UACGUAGGGUGCGAGCGUUGUCCGGAAUUAUUGGGCGUAAAGAGCUCGUAGGCGGUUUGUUGCGUCGACUGUGAAAACCUGGGGCUUAACUCUGGGCUUGCAGUCGAUACGGGCAGACUUGAGUUCGGUAGGGGAGACUGGAAUUCCUGGUGUAGCGGUGAAAUGCGCAGAUAUCGGGAGGAACACCAGUAGCGAAGGCGGCUCGCUGGGCCGUUCCUGACGCUGAGACGCGAAAGCUAGGGGAGCGAACAGG
rnacentral:rRNA from 1 species